AUUGAACGCUGGCGGCAUGCCUUACACAUGCAAGUCGAACGGUAACAGGUCUUCGGAUGCUGACGAGUGGCGAACGGGUGAGUAAUACAUCGGAACGUGCCCGAUCGUGGGGGAUAACGGAGCGAAAGCUUUGCUAAUACCGCAUACGAUCUACGGAUGAAAGCAGGGGACCGCAAGGCCUUGCGCGGACGGAGCGGCCGAUGGCAGAUUAGGUAGUUGGUGGGAUAAAAGCUUACCAAGCCGACGAUCUGUAGCUGGUCUGAGAGGACGACCCGCCACACUGGGACUGAGACACGGCCCAGACUCCUACGGGAGGCAGCAGUGGGGAAUGUUGGACAAUGGGCGAAAGCAUGAUCCAGCCAUGCCGCGUGCAGGAUGAAGGCCUUCGGGUUGUAAACUGCUUUUGUACGGAACGAAAAGACUCUUUCUAAUAAAGAGGGUCCAUGACGGUACCGUAAGAAUAAGCACCGGCUAACUACGUG
rnacentral:rRNA from 1 species